rnacentral:rRNA from 1 species
UUUUUAAAAACAUCGCUCUUUGUGGGUUAAAAAUAAGGAGUCGUGCCUGCCCAGUGAAUUUUAAACGGCCGCAGUACCCUGACUGUGCUAAGGUAGCAUAAUCAUUUGCCUUUUAAUUGGAGGCUAGAAUGAAUGGCUUGACGAGAAUAAAGCUGUCUCUUUUAUAUUAUAUAGAAAUUAAUUUUUAGGUGAAGAAGCCUAUAUUAUUUUAAAAGACGAAAAGACCCUAUCGAACUUUAAAUUAUAUUAGUGUUAAAUUUUUAGUAGAAUUAGUUUCUGAUCUUGUUUUUAAUUGGGGCGAUGGAAGAACAAAAAAGCUUCUUUUUUUUUGUAAAAUUUUUGAAUUUUAAAAAUCCGUGGUUAAUGAAAAAAGAAAAGUUACCGUAGGGAUAACAGCGUAAUUUUUCUGGAGAGUUCAAAUUGAAGGAAGAGAUUGCGACCUCGAUGUUGGAUUAGAAUAUCUAUUUGGUGUAGCAGCUAAAAAUAGAAGGUCUGUUCGACCUUUAAAUUUCUACAUGAUCUGAGU